rnacentral:rRNA from 1 species
AUUGAACGCUGGCGGCAUGCCUUACACAUGCAAGUCGAACGGUAACGGGCCUUCGGGUGCCGACGAGUGGCGCACGGGUGAGUAAUACAUCGGAACGUGCCCGAUCGUGGGGGAUAACGAGGCGAAAGCUUUGCUAAUACCGCAUACGAUCUACGGAUGAAAGCAGGGGACCGCAAGGCCUUGCGCGGACGGAGCGGCCGAUGGCAGAUGAGGUAGUUGGUGGGAUAAAAGCUUACCAAGCCGACGAUCUGUAGCUGGUCUGAGAGGAUGAUCAGCCACACUGGGACUGGAACACGGCCCAGACUCCUACGGGAGGCAGCAGUGGGGAAUUUUGGACAAUGGGCGCAAGCCUGAUCCAGCCAUGCCGCGUGCAGGAUGAAGGCCUUCGGGUUGUAAACUGCUUUUGUACGGAACGAAAAGCCUUCUUUUAAUACAGGAGGGUCAUGACGGUACCGUAAGAAUAAGCACCGGCUAACUACGUG